UUAUAAGUUUGACGUUAACUUUUUGACGUCCGUUAAUAAAGCGUUCAGAUAGAUCAAAUGCAUUCCCAAGACGUAUCUGUUCACAUGUCAACGCUUU